UACAGAGGUCUCAAGCGUUGUUCGGAUUCAUUGGGCGUAAAGGGUGCGUAGGUGGCGCUGUAAGUCGGGUGUGAAAUUUCGGAGCUUAACUCCGAAACUGCAUUCGAUACUGCGGUGCUUGAGGACUGGAGAGGAGACUGGAAUUCAUGGUGUAGCAGUGAAAUGCGUAGAGAUCAUGAGGAAGACCAGUGGCGAAAGCGGCGCACUGGACCAUAACUGACGCUGAUGCGCGAAAGCUAGGGGAGCAAACAGG
rnacentral:rRNA from 1 species